ensembl:lncRNA
GUGUGUGUGCUCUCUCGCCCUGACCCAGGAGAGCAGCAUGGCGGACCCCUGAUCUUGUGGUGUGCCACCGCGCGAGGCCGAGGAGCUCGCGCAGACCAGUGGGCGUGGCGUCCUUGUAGCGGCUCUGUGGAGACCUGGCGAUGAUGGAAGCAUCAAUGAUUGAAGAUCAGCAGCAGCAUGGAAUCCUGGGCCUAUUUGGAGAUACCAAGUGAGUCCAAGGAGCUCCCAGAGGCAAGUUGAUGAUGGCCUAUUGAGGGGAUCAUGGAGGCCUGGUGAUGGUAAGCAGCACUGUCCCUGUGUAUGGACAUGUAGAACUCAGGGCACUCUUUUCAGGUGUCCUUGGCUACACUCUCAUCCCCUUGCGUUGGCCAAGUCACAGCAGCCUGAUUGCCUGAGUGUGAGCUUUACUUCCUGCACCUUGGCUAAGCUCUGGAAGCUCCUGAAGUAUGAUAUAAAGGAGCAGGCUAGUCAUCCCAGGGUCUAGGCUGUGAGUGUGCAAGUCCAGCUCCUUAGCCCUUGCUCCAAUCUAUGGUAUUUACUUAUUUGCAUUUCUUGAAAAUCUGAACAAAAUGACUGAAUACUCACUACUCUCUCCUAAUCACAUGGUUCUCAUAGGGGACUUAGAAAGAGGGUCCCUUUGACCGAGUGUGUUCCCCUAUCAGGCAGUGUGUGUGAGGCCCUUAAUGUGCCAGUGGUGUGGGUAGACACCUUGAGGCUAUGUGGGUUGGUCUGGCCUUGAGAAACAGAAUUUCAGGGCCUGAUAUGAGGUACUUCAUUGCUGGUAGUGCUCUCUGUCCCUGUGGUUGCCUGCUGUGAAGACAAUCUGUGCUUGUAAACACAGAUACUGAAGAUACUAACAUUCCUCUCAGGGACAUUAACCCUCCAAUCUCAGUGCAACUCUGGCUAUGCCAAUCAGAAAUGUAGUCCUGAUAGCUCAGUGUGUGUCAUAUAUUUCAUUCUACAGUUCCCUUUUAUAACAGUGCCUGGAUAAAUGGUGACUUCUGAAAUGGAUCUUAUUGGAAUUUGAACAAAAUAGUGACAAAAUCACUUAUGUAAGCUGAGGUCUAGUCCAUGGACCAUGCUAGGCAAAAAUGUGAAUGGAUAUCCAGCUUAGUCAGCAGUUUGUACC